CCUACGGGUGGCUGCAGUGGGGGAUAUUGGACAAUGGGGGAAACCCUGAUCCAGCGACGCCGCGUGAGUGAAGAAGUAUUUCGGUAUGUAAAGCUCUGUCAGCAGGGAAGAAAGAAAUGACGGUACCGGACCAAGAAGCCCCGGCUAACUACGUGCCAGCAGCCGCGGUAAGACGUAGGGGGCAAGCGUUAUCCGGAAUUACUGGGUGUAAAGGGAGCGGAGACGGGGAGGCAAGUCUGGAGUGAAAGGCGGGGGCCCAACCCCCGGACUGCUCUGGAGACUGUGUAACUUGAGUGCAGGAGAGGUAAGCGGAAUUCCUAGUGUAGCGGUGAAAUGCGUAGAUAUUAGGAGGAACACCCGUGGCGAAGGCGGGUUGCUAGACUGUAACUGACACUGCGGCACGAAAGCGUGGGGAGCAAACAGGAUUAGAUACCCUUGUAGUC
rnacentral:rRNA from 1 species